UGGGGAAUAUUGCACAAUGGAGGAAACUCUGAUGCAGCAACGCCGCGUGAAGGAUGAAGGUCUUCGGAUUGUAAACUUCUUUGAUUGGGGACGAAUAAUGACGGUACCCAAGGAACAAGCCACGGCUAACUACGUGCCAGCAGCCGCGGUAAUACGUAGGUGGCGAGCGUUGUCCGGAAUUACUGGGUGUAAAGGGCGUGUAGGCGGGACUGUAAGUCAGAUGUGAAAUCCCGGGGCUUAACCCCGGAGCUGCAUCUGAAACUAUGGUUCUUGAGUGCUGGAGAGGAAAGCGGAAUUCCUAGUGUAGCGGUGAAAUGCGUAGAUAUUAGGAGGAACACCAGUGGCGAAGGCGGCUUUCUGGACAGUAACUGACGCUGAGGCGCGAAAGCGUGGGGAGCAAACAGG
rnacentral:rRNA from 2 species